UUAAGUUAAUAAGGGCGCACGGUGGAUGCCUUGGCACUAGGAGCCGACGAAGGACGUGACAAACGACGAUAUGCCUUGGGUAGCUGUAAGUAAGCGAUGAUCCAGGGAUUUCCGAAUGGGGGAACCCAACAGGUAAUACCUGUUACCCACAUCUGUUAAGGAUGUGAGGAGGAAGACGCAGUGAACUGAAACAUCUAAGUAGCUGCAGGAAGAGAAAGCAAAAGCGAUUGCCUUAGUAGCGGCGAGCGAAACGGCAGAAGGGCAAACCGAAGAGUUUACUCUUCGGGGUUGUAGGACUGCAAUGUGGACUCAAAGAUUAUAGAAGAAUGAUUUGGGAAGAUCAGCCAAAGAGAGUAAUAGCCUCGUAUUUAAAAUAGUCUUUGUACCUAGCAGUAUCCUGAGUACGGCGGGACACGUGAAAUCCCGUCGGAAUCUGGGAGGACCAUCUCCCAACCCUAAAUACUCCCUAGUGACCGAUAGUGAACCAGUACCGUGAGGGAAAGGUGAAAAGCACCCCGGGAGGGGAGUGAAAUAGAACCUGAAACCGUGUGCCUACAACAAGUUCGAGCCCGUUAAUGGGUGAGAGCGUGCCUUUUGUAGAAUGAACCGGCGAGUUACGUUAUGAUGCGAGGUUAAGUUGAAGAGACGGAGCCGUAGGGAAACCGAGUCUGAAUAGGGCGCCUUAGUAUCAUGACGUAGACCCGAAACCAUGUGACCUACCCAUGAGCAGGUUGAAGGUGCGGUAAGACGCACUGGAGGACCGAACCAGGGCACGUUGAAAAGUGCUUGGAUGACUUGUGGGUAGCGGAGAAAUUCCAAACGAACUUGGAGAUAGCUGGUUCUCUCCGAAAUAGCUUUAGGGCUAGCGUCGACAUUAGAGAUUCUUGGAGGUAGAGCACUGUUUGGGUGAGGGGUCCAUCCCGGAUUACCAAUCUCAGAUAAACUCCGAAUGCCAAUGAAUUAUGGUCGGCAGUCAGACUGCGAGUGCUAAGAUCCGUAGUCGAAAGGGAAACAGCCCAGACCACCAGCUAAGGUCCCAAAAUAAUUGUUAAGUGGAAAAGGAUGUGGGGUUGCACAGACAACUAGGAUGUUAGCUUAGAAGCAGCUAUUCAUUCAAAGAGUGCGUAAUAGCUCACUAGUCGAGUGACCCUGCGCCGAAAAUGUACCGGGGCUAAAACAAUUUACCGAAGCUGUGGAUACCUUUAUAGGUAUGGUAGGAGAGCGUUCUAUGUGUGAUGAAGGUAUACCGUGAGGAGUGCUGGAACGCAUAGAAGUGAGAAUGCCGGUAUGAGUAGCGAAAGACAGGUGAGAAUCCUGUCCACCGUAAGACUAAGGUUUCCAGGGGAAGGCUCGUCCGCCCUGGGUUAGUCGGGACCUAAGGAGAGACCGAAAGGUGUAUCCGAUGGACAACAGGUUGAUAUUCCUGUACUAGAGUAUGUAGUGAUGGAGGGACGCAGUAGGCUAACUAAAGCAGACGAUUGGAAGAGUCUGUCUAAGCAGUGAGGUGUGAAUUGAGUCAAAUGCUUAAUUCUAUAACAUUGAGCUGUGAUGGGGAGCGAAGUUUAGUAGCGAAGUUAGUGACGUCACACUGCCAAGAAAAGCUUCUAGCGUUUAAACAUACUCUACCCGUACCGCAAACCGACACAGGUAGUCGAGGCGAGUAGCCUCAGGUGAGCGAGAGAACUCUCGUUAAGGAACUCGGCAAAAUGACCCCGUAACUUCGGGAGAAGGGGUGCUGACUUAAAGUCAGCCGCAGUGAAUAGGCCCAAGCAACUGUUUAUCAAAAACACAGCUCUCUGCUAAAUCGUAAGAUGAUGUAUAGGGGGUGACGCCUGCCCGGUGCUGGAAGGUUAAGAGGAGUGCUUAGCGUAAGCGAAGGUAUGAAUUGAAGCCCCAGUAAACGGCGGCCGUAACUAUAACGGUCCUAAGGUAGCGAAAUUCCUUGUCGGGUAAGUUCCGACCCGCACGAAAGGCGUAAUGAUUUGGGCACUGUCUCAACGAGAGACUCGGUGAAAUUUUAGUACCUGUGAAGAUGCAGGUUACCCGCGACAGGACGGAAAGACCCCAUGGAGCUUUACUGCAGUUUGAUAUUGAGUGUCUGUACCACAUGUACAGGAUAGGUAGGAGUCUAAGAGAUCGGGACGCCAGUUUCGAAGGAGACGCUGUUGGGAUACUACCCUUGUGUUAUGGCCACUCUAACCCAGAUAGGUGAUCCCUAUCGGAGACAGUGUCUGACGGGCAGUUUGACUGGGGCGGUCGCCUCCUAAAAGGUAACGGAGGCGCCCAAAGG
rnacentral:rRNA from 1 species